rnacentral:tmRNA from 3 species
GGGGGCGAACUAGAUUCGACGGGGAUGAACGGGAUGUUGGAACGCGAGCCGAGGGCCUGAGCCUCGUUAAAAAGCAGGAAACCAUUAAGUGCCAAGAACAACGAAGAAAACUACGCUUUAGCUGCCUAAAUCCCAGCUAACGCCAAAGCCUCUGGUUCCUGCCCGGCGACUUUUGGCGUAAAAAAUGCAGGAUACCUGGUAUAGUGUCCGAUAUGCCAUGGGAAACUAGGACUGGUUUGGCAACGACCGCGCUGUGGCGAUCUUGUCAAAUGAGAUCAAUUCCACGGCUACGCUCGUAGGGGUCUAACAUGACGUAUCUUCGGACGGGACGGGCAGUACGUCCCCGCCUCCACCA